GGAUGUGAAGGUGAUCUGGCUGCGACAUCUGUCACCCCACUGACAGCCAGGGUUGAUUUGGCUGAUCUGGCUGGCUAGGCGGGUGUGUCCCCUUCCUCCCUCGUGGCUCGAUGUGUGUCCCUCCAGAAGCUGCGUGCUUGGUGGAAGAGGAUGACCUUCCCUGAUACAGGUGGACCGUUCUUCAGCCAAGUGUAUAGGGGUAGCUGCUCUCUCCUGCUAGGAUCUCCAAACAAGCUCUUAAAAGCAGGAGAGGGAGACAGUGGAGUUGGAGAAUAUGUGGUAACAGAAGCAGAGGCCAGAGCACAAAUGAUGGCUGGUUGC
ensembl:misc_RNA 7SK 7SK RNA